rnacentral:rRNA from 1 species
AACGUAGGAGGCGAGCGUUAUCCGGAUUUACUGGGCGUAAGCGCACGUCAGGUGGCAAUGCAAGUCGGACAUGAAAGCUCCUGGCUUAACUGGGAGAGGUGGUUCGAAACUGCAUGAGCUUGAGGUUGGGAGAGGGACGUGGAAUUCCCGGUGUAAGUGGUGGAAUGCGUAGAUAUCGGGAGGAACACCAGUGGCGCAGCGGCGUCCUGGCCCACACCUGACGCUGAGGUGCGAAAGCGUGGGUAGCAAACAGG